GGAGCCGUAGUUCAGCUGGUUAGAACGCUGGCCUGUCACGCCAGAGGUCGCGAGUUCGAGUCUCGUCGGCUCCGCCA
rnacentral:tRNA from 4 species